rnacentral:misc_RNA from 1 species
GAUACGACCAAGCAAAGCAGACACUUCUGAGUUAGCCUGAGUAAACCUGAAAAUAUUGUCAAUAAAGAGAAGCACAUCCUGCCCCUCGGCAUCUCGGAAGUGCUCAGCAACUGUCAAACCAGUAAGUCCAACACGUGCACGAGCACCAGGGGGCUCAUUCAUUUGACCGUAUACAAGCGCACACUUGCUUUCACUUUGCUUCUCGCCUAGCUUGAUGACACCACUUUCAAUCAUUUCUCGGUACAAAUCAUUACCCUCUCGAGUUCGCUCACCAACACCAGCAAAAACAGAGAAACCACCAUGUGCUUUGGCAACAUUGUUAAUAAGCUCCAUAAUAAGCACAGUUUUGCCAACACCAGCACCACCAAACAGACCAAUUUUCCCUCCUCUUUGGUAUGGUGCAAGAAGAUCA